AAUGUACCGUGCAUCACAUUCGGGUAACCGAACGUUUGCCCAGGGGGAUAGUGAGAAAUGCUUAUGGGAAUCAACUUGUUCAGUUCCCCUAUAAUAGCGGGACAGAUCUUGGCCUUUUCUGAAAAACUCACAUUCCGAGCUACGAGAAGUCCUCCGAGCUGAAGACUAGAAUAGUAGGGUAGGUGAUAAUCGUAGAUGAUGAAGUAUCUGGAUAUGUAAAUCCUUUAAGGAUAGUCUUUCAUCCCGUAGUGUAGGCCUUUGUAACGUGCUGUAAUGUACUUUUCUUUUAAUGAAGUUCUUGUUCUGCUCUCAUGCUUAAACUGUUCUUCCUUUAUCAUGUGUGAAAUACCUUAGAUUGCUCGCCUUAUAAUUUUAACCAACUGAGCUCUGUCCUGCUUUUUCCCGAGCUGAUCUAACCAUAUCUGCGAGCUCUGAUGAGUUGAACUCCGGAUCCACUUAGCCAACUGGGCUUUCAAGUUUCCGAACUGGACUGUCUGAC
rnacentral:lncRNA from 1 species